CCUACGGGGAGCAGCAGUGGGGGAUAUUGCACAAUGGGGGAAACCCUGAUGCAGCGACGCCGCGUGGGUGAAGAAGUAUUUCGGUAUGUAAAGCCCUAUCAGCAGGGAAGAAAGAAGACGGUACCUGACUAAGAAGCCCCGGCUAACUACGUGCCAGCAGCCGCGGUAAUACGUAGGGGGCGAGCGUUAUCCGGAUUCACUGGGUGUAAAGGGAGCGUAGACGGCCGUGCAAGCCAGGAGUGAAAGCCCGGGGCCCAACCCCGGGACUGCUCUUGGAACUGUGCGGCUGGAGUGCGGGAGGGGCAGGCGGAAUUGCUGGUGUAGCGGUGAAAUGCGUAGAUAUCAGGAGGAACACCGGCGGCGAAGGCGGCAUGCUGGACCGCGACUGACGUUGAGGCUCGAAAGCGUGGGGAGCGAACAGGAUUAGAUACCCGUGUAGUC
rnacentral:rRNA from 1 species